rnacentral:rRNA from 1 species
GUAGGUGGCAAGCGUUGUCCGGAAUUAUUGGGCGUAAAGCGCGCGCAGGCGGUCCUUUAAGUCUGAUGUGAAAGCCCACGGCUCAACCGUGGAGGGUCAUUGGAAACUGGGGACUUGAGUACAGAAGAGGAAAGCGGAAUUCCAAGUGUAGCGGUGAAAUGCGUAGAGAUUUGGAGGAACACCAGUGGCGAAGGCGGCUUUCUGGUCUGUAACUGACGCUGAGGCGCGAAAGCGUGGGGAGCAAACAGGAUUAGAUACCCUGGUAGUCCACGCCGUAAACGAUGAGUGCUAAGUGUUAGGGGGUUUCCCGCCCCCUUAGUGCUGCAGCUAACGCAUUAAGCACUCCGCCUGGGGAGUACGGCCGCAAGGCUG